GUGAAUCAUCGAAUUUUUGAACGCAAAUUGCACUUUCUGGUAUUCCGGAGAGUAUGCCUGUUUGAGGGUCAGUUAAAAUAAAAUUCGGUGUGGUGGUUGCUUUUGGUGGUGAUGCACCGGAUUUGGGUGGUCUAGCCUUCGGUUAAGUGACCUAAAUUUUUGCAUGAUUUUUUAGAAUGUAUUUAAAUGAUUUUAAGUACGUUUGCAAUAUCUA
rnacentral:misc_RNA from 1 species